GAUGAACGCUGGCGGCGUGCCUAAUACAUGCAAGUCGAGCGAACGGACGAGAAGCUUGCUUCUCUGAUGUUAGCGGCGGACGGGUGAGUAACACGUGGAUAACCUACCUAUAAGACUGGGAUAACUUCGGGAAACCGGAGCUAAUACCGGAUGAUAUUUUGAACCGCAUGGUUCAAAAGUGAAAGACGGUCUUGCUGUCACUUAUAGAUGGAUCCGCGCUGCAUUAGCUAGUUGGUAAGGUAACGGCUUACCAAGGCAACGAUGCAUAGCCGACCUGAGAGGGUGAUCGGCCACACUGGAACUGAGACACGGUCCAGACUCCUACGGGAGGCAGCAGUAGGGAAUCUUCCGCAAUGGGCGAAAGCCUGACGGAGCAACGCCGCGUGAGUGAUGAAGGUCUUCGGAUCGUAAAACUCUGUUAUUAGGGAAGAACAUAUGUGUAAGUAACUGUGCACAUCUUGACGGUACCUAAUCAGAAAGCCACGGCUAACUACGUGCCAGCAGCCGCGGUAAUACGUAGGUGGCAAGCGUUAUCCGGAAUUAUUGGGCGUAAAGCGCGCGUAGGCGGUUUUUUAAGUCUGAUGUGAAAGCCCACGGCUCAACCGUGGAGGGUCAUUGGAAACUGGAAAACUUGAGUGCAGAAGAGGAAAGUGGAAUUCCAUGUGUAGCGGUGAAAUGCGCAGAGAUAUGGAGGAACACCAGUGGCGAAGGCGACUUUCUGGUCUGUAACUGACGCUGAUGUGCGAAAGCGUGGGGAUCAAACAGGAUUAGAUACCCUGGUAGUCCACGCCGUAAACGAUGAGUGCUAAGUGUUAGGGGGUUUCCGCCCCUUAGUGCUGCAGCUAACGCAUUAAGCACUCCGCCUGGGGAGUACGACCGCAAGGUUGAAACUCAAAGGAAUUGACGGGGACCCGCACAAGCGGUGGAGCAUGUGGUUUAAUUCGAAGCAACGCGAAGAACCUUACCAAAUCUUGACAUCCUUUGACAACUCUAGAGAUAGAGCCUCCCCCUUCGGGGGACAAAGUGACAGGUGGUGCAUGGUUGUCGUCAGCUCGUGUCGUGAGAUGUUGGGUUAAGUCCCGCAACGAGCGCAACCCUUAAGCUUAGUUGCCAUCAUUAAGUUGGGCACUCUAAGUUGACUGCCGGUGACAAACCGGAGGAAGGUGGGGAUGACGUCAAAUCAUCAUGCCCCUUAUGAUUUGGGCUACACACGUGCUACAAUGGACAAUACAAAGGGCAGCGAAACCGCGAGGUCAAGCAAAUCCCAUAAAGUUGUUCUCAGUUCGGAUUGUAGUCUGCAACUCGACUACAUGAAGCUGGAAUCGCUAGUAAUCGUAGAUCAGCAUGCUACGGUGAAUACGUUCCCGGGUCU
rnacentral:rRNA from 1 species